rnacentral:rRNA from 1 species
UGCAGUCGAGCGGAACGAGUUGUCUGAACCUUCGGGGAACGAUAACGGCGUCGAGCGGCGGACGGGUGAGUAAUGCCUGGGAAAUUGCCCUGAUGUGGGGGAUAACCAUUGGAAACGAUGGCUAAUACCGCAUAAUAGCUUCGGCUCAAAGAGGGGGACCUUCGGGCCUCUCGCGUCAGGAUAUGCCCAGGUGGGAUUAGCUAGUUGGUGAGGUAAGGGCUCACCAAGGCGACGAUCCCUAGCUGGUCUGAGAGGAUGAUCAGCCACACUGGAACUGAGACACGGUCCAGACUCCUACGGGAGGCAGCAGUGGGGAAUAUUGCACAAUGGGCGCAAGCCUGAUGCAGCCAUGCCGCGUGUAUGAAGAAGGCCUUCGGGUUGUAAAGUACUUUCAGCAGUGAGGAAGGUGGUGUACUUAAUACGUGCAUCAUUUGACGUUAGCUGCAGAAGAAGCACCGGCUAACUCCGUGCCAGCAGCCGCGGUAAUACGGAGGGUGCGAGCGUUAAUCGGAAUUACUGGGCGUAAAGCGCAUGCAGGUGGUUUGUUAAGUCAGAUGUGAAAGCCCGGGGCUCAACCUCGGAAUUGCAUUUGAAACUGGCAGACUAGAGUACUGUAGAGGGGGGUAGAAUUUCAGGUGUAGCGGUGAAAUGCGUAGAGAUCUGAAGGAAUACCGGUGGCGAAGGCGGCCCCCUGGACAGAUACUGACACUCAGAUGCGAAAGCGUGGGGAGCAAACAGGAUUAGA